AUGGAGAUGAGGAUGAGGAAGAUGAGGAAGAAGAUGAAGCUGGUCCACCUGAAGGAUACGAAGAUGAGGAUGAGGAUGAGGAUGAAGCUGGCUCAGAAGUAGGAGAGGGAGAAGAGGAGGAUGAAGAAGACGAUGAUGAUUACGUUGAUGAAGGGGAGGAAGAGGAAGAAGAGGGUCCUCGGGGAGAGAAAAGAAAGCGAGAUGCUGAAGAUGACGGGGAGGAAGAUGAUGAUUAGACCCUCCAAGGAGAGGCUGCCUGACACUCCCGGUCGUGCAGUAGGGCGGUCACAUUGUCUGUGUUUCUUUAUGUAUGAUAGCUGUCCCAGUAGGAGAUGAUGUGUAACUUUUUAUAGGAAAAGUGUGGUUUUACUAUUUUGGCCUUACCAUUCCGGAUAAGAUUUGCUAGUCUGUUAAUCAUAAUGUACUUAGAAAAGAAUUCUCCUUCAUCUUCCCAUGGUGAAAUUCUCUAGCAUUGUAUUUAGAUUCUGGAUUUUUAUAAUUCAUGCUUAAUGUAUUAGACAUUUUUAGCCCAUAAUUAAAACAUGGUUGCUUUUAC
rnacentral:lncRNA from 1 species